GUUGGGCUACACGUCUAGCAGGUAAGAGCUACCAGUGGCAGUUAAAGUAUAGAGAUUUAAUGUCGAACAGGGUAAAUGGAGAUUCAUUUAAUUACAGUGUGGCUGAGGAGUACUGCGGGCACUUUUGAAUGGCUGGUUAUUUUUCGGCGAGCUAUUAGACAAGUUCCGCGUCCAGUGCGUGGUGCAUUACGGGUUAUUGGCUGCAGUGACUUGGGGUGUUGGAGGUGUUGCAGCAGGCUGAACCGGCGCCACUUAGAGGUUGAAUCUAUGUCAGUUAAAUGCUGAACCUACGCUAUUAGAAGGCUGAACUGGCUUCAUUUGAAGACUGUGAUUCUCCCUUAUGGAGUAGCGCUAUCAUAUUAUCUGCACGUACAAUGACUGUCUGAACUGGAGUGUUUCUGGACGGGAGAUCAACAGUGUCACCACUAUCCGUGCUGCUUUGUUCAUUUACCUUCCCUCUCGUCUAACUUCGUAGCGGAUACCUGAAGCGGGUUGUAUUCCUGACCGGAGACAGACAGCGUUACGAUUGUUUGCAUGGAUUUGUUCAAUUUACCUGCUUUCUCAUCUAACUUCGUAGCGGAUGCCUGAACCGGGUUAUUCCCGGACGAAGUGGACAGUUCGCUGCUUUUCGGGUUGAUUCACGUGAUCUCUCUCUCUCUCUCUCUGCCGCGCCUGAGACCGUGUCUUUGUUCCGGGUCUUAGGCGAGUGAUACUCUUACUUAAGGGACAGAAACUUCUAGAAAUUACUAAUUAUUUUGUUUCCCUCGACGUGCCUAUGUGAAGCGUUCCGCUUCUCGCUGCUGAUAAGGCUAUAGGUAACGACAUUGAACUCUCUUUAUUUUUUUCCUCCCUCUGAGGACUUCGAGAGGGGUGAUUACCGGACUAGGGGUGAUAUGUGAAUUAUAAUCUGCUAUUUUGUGGUUAAUUUGUUUUGUUUAAAGUGAUUUUGUUUUGAAUUUGUUUGUUUGUUUUAUUAAUUUUCUCCUGUCCUAGAAUUGGGGAAUUGGUCGCGGCCGAGAUCCUCUGUGUGUGGUGCUGUGGUUGGUCUGGUUGCAGUGUUCACAACAGAGAUGUUUUGGCGUGUGGUGACGUGAGUGAGCACAAUGGUUGCUGAGUGUUUGGAUCCAUCGGACGCCUUUUUUCGUUUGAGUGUUUUUAGUAUUAAUAAUUUGAUGGCAUGAGUUUUAAGGCUUUAAAUUAAAUGUUAACUGGUAUUUUAUAUUGACUGUGAAAUAAAUGGUUUGCCAUCUCC